UGAAUACGAGAUGCUACGGCGUCGAAGCAGUCUAUGUCAUACUUCCAAGAAAAGCUUGCACUGUCAUAAACAAAUAAUGCCUGUACCAUAACCGACACAGGUGGGUAGGUAGAGUAUACUAAGGGGCGCGAGAUAACUCUCUCUAAGGAACUCGGCAAAAUGACUCCGUAACUUCGGGAGAAGGAGUGCCUUAUUUAUAAGGUUGCAAUAACAAGACCCAAGCAACUGUUUAUCAAAAACACAGGUCUCCGCUAAGUCGUAAGACGAUGUAUGGGGGCUGACGCCUGCCCAGUGCCAGAAGGUUAAAGAAGUUGGUUAGCAUUAGCGAAGCUGAUGACUGAAGCCCUGGUGAACGGCGGCCGUAACUAUAACGGUCCUAAGGUAGCGAAAUUCCUUGUCGGGUAAGUUCCGACCCGCACGAAAGGCGUAAUGAUUUGGGUACUGUCUCAGAGAGGGACUCGGUGAAAUAGACUUGUCUGUGAAGAUGCGGACUACCUGCACCUGGACAGAAAGACCCUAUGAAGCUUUACUGUAACCUGAAAUUGAAAUUGGACUUUAUUUGCGCAGUAUAGGUGGGAGGCUUUGAAGAUAUUCUUGCGGGAAUGUUGGAGCCAUCAGUGAGAUACCACUCUUGUAAUGUUAGAUUUCUAACUUUGUAUCAUUAUCUGGUCAAAGAACAGUUUCAGGCGGGCAGUUUGACUGGGGCGGUCGCCUCCUAAACGGUAACGGAGGCGCACAAAGGUUUCCUCUGAACGGGUAGAAAUCGUAUCUAGAGUGUAAAGGCAUAAGGAAGCUUGACUGUGAGACCUACAAGUCGAGCAGGGACGAAAGUCGGUCUUAGUGAUCUGACGGUGCUGAGUGGAAAGGCCGUCACUCAACGGAUAAAAGUUACUCUAAGGAUAACAGGCUGAUCUCCCCCAAGAGUUCACAUCGACGGGGAGGUUUGGCACCUCGAUGUCGGCUCAUCGCAUCCUGGGGCGGUAGUACGUCCCAAGGGUUGGGCUGUUCGCCCAUGAAAGCGGUACGCGAGCUGGGUUCAGAACGUCGUGAGACAGUUCGGUCCAUAUCCGGUGUAGGCGUUAGAAUAUUGAGAGGAGCCUUCUCUAGUACGAGAGGACCGAGAAGGACACACCUCUGGUGUACCAGUUAUCGUGCCAACGGUAAACGCUGGGUAGCUAUGUGUGGAGCGGAUAACCGCUGAAAGCAUCUAAGUGGGAAGCCCACCUCAAGAUAAGUAUUCUCAUC
rnacentral:rRNA from 1 species